rnacentral:rRNA from 1 species
AACGAACGCUGGCGGCAUGCCUAACACAUGCAAGUCGAACGAGACCUUCGGGUCUAGUGGCGCACGGGUGCGUAACGCGUGGGAACCUGCCCUUAGGUCCGGAAUAACUCCCCGAAAGGGGUGCUAAUACCGGCUAAUGUCUUCGGACCAAAGAUUUAUCGCCUUUGGAUGGGCCGGCGUUGGAUUAGCUAGUUGGUAGGGUAAAAGCCUACCAAGGCGACGAUCCAUAGCUGGUCUGAGAGGAUGAUCAGCCACACUGGGACUGAGACACGGCCCAGACUCCUACGGGAGGCAGCAGUGGGGAAUAUUGGACAAUGGGCGAAAGCCUGAUCCAGCAAUGCCGCGUGAGUGAUGAAGGCCUUAGGGUUGUAAAGCUCUUUUACCCGGGAUGAUAAUGACAGUACCGGGAGAAUAAGCUCCGGCUAACUCCGUG